AUCACCGCGUGGCGGAGCCCGUGUCCGGGCCAGUAUUUCUGCCUGUCACUUAUUAUCUGGUUGAGCUGGUGGCGGGAGUCCCGGCCCAUGUGUGUUACCAGAGGGAUGGUCUAGAGAAUGAAUCCAUCUGUCAGAGGCAUCCAAGAAGAAAGGCCUGGGCCAGGAUCACAUGGAAGACCCUGAAGACAGGAUCGGGUCUUGCCUGCCUGGAUUGAACAGAGACGCAGUGACCAGUCCCAUCUGCUCCCACCCUGCUGCCCUCUGAAUCGAGAGUUUGAGGCCAUGACCAGGGUAACGUUCAGCUGGUAGAGACAACACAACCCUGCUGGCUGUUUAAGCCAUGCUGGAGUGGUGCUCACAGGGUAACAAUUUUCAAGUGCUACGGAUGCAAUAGCUCAGCGACUGGCAGCGCAGCACGUACCUGCUGUCGUGGGAGGGAGGCUGCCUCACCAAGCUACCUGCUACUCAUGGGGGCGAUGGGCAUCAGGGUGGCCUGCCUGGAGGUGAGUUGCAGUUGGGAGAUUAGGAGGAAGGUAUGUUGCAGUUGGGAGAUUAGGAGGAAAUACUCACUCGGGAUAUUAAACUAGGCUCUGAACCCGUCUCCAGCGGCAGAUAUCUCCAGUAACUGGGCUGGCAUGUCCGUGCCCUGCGCUGCUCUCUUCUCUCAGCUUCCCUUUGCAACCAAGGCUGAUUCCCACAGUCAGUCUCUCCCCCAGAGAACAUGAAGGAAGAUGCCUGAGGGACAACAUUAACUUGUCAGGAACAGGGGCCUGGGAGGAGUGUGGAUGUGGGCUCAGGUACGGGCAUGCACCUUGAGUGUGUGCAUGUGGGGGUCAGUGUGCAAGCCUGCCGUGGUGUGUGUGGGUCCGUGGGGGUCCCCAUGUUCCCGGGUCUAUGUGGGUGGGGUGGUAUGCACUGUGUGUGUUUAGGGUGCUUGUGCAUGUGUGAGUGUGUACAUAUCUGCAUUCAUUCCUGUGUGUGUCUGCGUCUGUGUCUGUGUGUGUGUGUCUGUGUCUGUGGGUGUGUGUGUGUGUGUGUGUGGGUGUGUGUGUGUGUGUGUACCAUCAGCCCUCCAUAUCCACAGGUUCUGUAUCCUUGGAUUCAACCAACCAUGGAAUAAAAGUACUAACAAAAA
rnacentral:lncRNA from 1 species